GGAGACGUAUCGAAGUGGUCAUAACGGGGCGCACUCGAAAUGCGUUGACCCUCCGGGGUCCGAGGGUUCGAAUCCCUCCGUCUCCGCCA
rnacentral:tRNA from 1 species